UAGUCCGUCAUGGCUGUUGUUAUUCUUCUUGGCUCGCAGUCAAAAAUAAUCCGACCAGUGUUGUAAAGACCGUCAUGAAAAGAUCCGAUGCAGGUCUGAUUACGUCACAUAAUCGGAAUUGAGUCACUUCAGGCUCCAGUGUGAACGCAGCCUCUGUCUGAGCGCGAGGAGAAGUUUUGUGAAGAAAGACAUGAAGUCCUGCUUUCAAAAUGAAAAUAAAAUUUCCCCCAUGCAAGUCCAGGCGGUGCGCUUGUCUCUUUAAUACUGGCUUCGUGCACUGCCAAUUAGCAACCAAAUCCCAGGUUGGAGCGGCAUCAUCACCUUGACACCGACUCACCUUCACACUAAUUGGCGCUGAUUGGAAGCGGUGUGAUGACACAGGUCAACCCUGCCUCAGCUGCUCCGAGUUGCAGCUGUUACUGGAGCAGCAG